UACGGAGGGUGCAAGCGUUAUCCGGAUUUACUGGGUUUAAAGGGUGUGUAGGCGGGCUUUUAAGUCAGUGGUGAAAUCUCCGGGCUCAACUUGGAAACUGCCAUUGAUACUAUUAGUCUUGAAUUCUGUUGAGGUAGGCGGAAUAAGUCAUGUAGCGGUGAAAUGCUUAGAUAUGACUUAGAACACCAAUUGCGAAGGCAGCUUACUAAACAGAUAUUGACGCUGAGGCACGAAAGCGUGGGGAUCAAACAGG
rnacentral:rRNA from 1 species